rnacentral:rRNA from 1 species
GACGAACGCUGGCGGCGUGCUUAACACAUGCAAGUCGAACGGAAAGGCCCUGCUUUUGUGGGGUGCUCGAGUGGCGAACGGGUGAGUAACACGUGAGUAACCUGCCCUUGACUUUGGGAUAACUUCAGGAAACUGGGGCUAAUACCGGAUAGGAGCUCCUGCUGCAUGGUGGGGGUUGGAAAGUUUCGGCGGUUGGGGAUGGACUCGCGGCUUAUCAGCUUGUUGGUGGGGUAGUGGCUUACCAAGGCUUUGACGGGUAGCCGGCCUGAGAGGGUGACCGGCCACAUUGGGACUGAGAUACGGCACAGACUCCUACGGGAGGCAGCAGUGGGGAAUAUUGCACGAUGGGCGGAAGCCUGAUGCAGCAAAGCCGCGUGCGGGAUGACGGCCUUCGGGUUGUAAACCGCUUUCGCCUGUGACGAAGCGUGAGUGACGGUAAUGGGUAAAGAAGCACCGGCUAACUACGUG